UCUCCAUCCGGGAUAUUUAACCGUUUAUGUUUAAAUUUUGCAGGCACGGGAAGAAACCAAGAGUCAGUCACCCCAGCGGAAGAUCUAAGGAACUCCUCUCAUUGGCCAGAGGAACUUGGAGAGGACCGCCUGCUGCAGGCGCUGAGUAUGGAAUAUGGGCACAAGAGUACCUCACUUCCAGACGUGGAGACGCAGGGGACCUUUGUGAUGGCAGUAACAUCUGUCUCCAGAGAGGAUCCUUAUGUCCUAUGGUUACGGUAGAGAGAAGCAAAGCUUCAGGCUGCUGGAGAUACCUAAGGCUUUUUCAUCUUCUGCCACGUGAGGACGUAGUAUUCCUCCCCUUUCAAGAAUGCUGCAUGCCAAGUGCCAUCUUGGAAGCACAGACUGGAACUCACCAGACAAGAAACCUACCAGAACCUUCACCUUGGCCUUCCCAGCCUCCAGAAUUUGUUACAGAAGGAAGUGAUUGAAAAUUGAAAAUGCCAGUGCUUAAGAUGUUUUCAAAAGAUUUGACUUCUCGGCCUGGUCAACUGGAUCAACGGGAAAAAGAGGUCCUUUCAUCUAAGUGAGAACUACAUGAGAGCUUGGUAAGUGGACUUUGCUUCUGUUUUUUGGCUGUUAUAUGUAAGAAGUCUUUGUCUAAACCAAAGUCACA
rnacentral:lncRNA from 13 species